rnacentral:rRNA from 1 species
GGUAACGCGUGGGUAACCUGCCUUGUACUGGGGGACAACAGUUGGAAACGACUGCUAAUACCGCAUAAGCGCACAGCUUCGCAUGAAGCAGUGUGAAAAACUCCGGUGGUACAAGAUGGACCCGCGUCUGAUUAGCUGGUUGGUGAGGUAACGGCCCACCAAGGCGACGAUCAGUAGCCGGCCUGAGAGGGUGAACGGCCACAUUGGGACUGAGACACGGCCCAA